rnacentral:lncRNA from 1 species
AAUGACCAAUUCCGAUUUUGAUUAUAGUCUAUUCUUGAAUUCAAUUCUGACUUCGAACCAAACGUUCCCUUAAAAAGUCCAGAUAAGUCUAAUGCAUGGGUAAGGUAUCAAAACGAGAUCAUGCCGGUCUUCGUAUGUUUUGACUAAUGCUCUACAAUCCAUACAAAUUCAUUAAUUGACAGUUCCUCCUGCAUACCUGUUUGCUCCUCUUUUCUUCUCUUCUCCUUUCAUCUCUUCUCCCUCCUCCCUUUCAUACCAAAUUUUUACGCCUCGAGAAGAUACAUAUCGAAAAAGUAACAAAUCUUUCCAAAUCAAUCUUGGAGCAGAUAAUAAAUUUUUUCAAAUCAAUCUUGAAAAUGUACCAAAUCUAUUCCAUACAAAUCCAUUAAUUGACAAUUCCUCCUGCAUACGUGUCCGCUCCUCCUUUCUUCUUUCUCCUUUCUCCUUUCAUCUCUUCUCUCUCCUCCCUUUCAUACUAAAUCUUUACGCUUCGGGAAGGUACACUUCAGAAAAAUAACAAAUCUUCUCAAAUCAAUCUUGGGGAAGGUAAUAAAUUUUUUCAAAUCAAUCUUGAAAAUGUACCAAAUCUUACAUCUCGGGAAGCUACCAAAUCUUUCCAAAUCCAUCUCGGAAAGGUACCAAAUCUAUCCAAAUAUUUCCUUACUUUGGAAAAUGACAAAAUCCUCACCUUGAUUCCGGUGU